rnacentral:piRNA from 1 species
UCCAAACGUGGAAGGGAAAUGGGCA